GAUGAACGCUGGCGGCGUGCUUAACACAUGCAAGUCGAACGAAGAUGCCGGAGUGCUUGCACUUUGGCAGACUGAGUGGCGGACGGGUGAGUAACGCGUGGGUAACCUGCCUUAUACAGGGGGACAACAGUUGGAAACGACUGCUAAUACCGCAUAAGCCCACGGGUCGGCAUCGACCAGAGGGAAAAGGAGCAAUCCGCUUUGAGAUGGCCUCGCGUCCGAUUAGCUAGUUGGUGAGGUAAUGGCCCACCAAGGCGACGAUCAGUAGCCGGCCUGAGAGGGUGAACGGCCACAUUGGGACUGAGACACGGCCCAAACUCCUACGGGAGGCAGCAGUGGGGAAUAUUGCACAAUGGGGGAAACCCUGAUGCAGCGACGCCGCGUGAGUGAUGAAGUAUUUCGGUAUGUAAAACUCUAUCAGCAGGGAAGAUAAUGACGGUACCUGACUAAGAAGCACCGGCUAAAUACGUG
rnacentral:rRNA from 1 species